AGCUUUGCGCAGUGGCAGUAUCGUAGCCAAUGAGGUUUAUCCGAGGCGCGAUUAUCGCUAAUUGAGAACAGGUUUACAAAGUAGCACGACGUUAGGUGUUUCAACGAACGUGUGCUGAGCAGAACGCCAAAACGC